rnacentral:rRNA from 1 species
CCUACGGGAGGCAGCAGUGAGGAAUAUUGGUCAAUGGGCGCGAGCCUGAACCAGCCAAGUCGCGUGAAGGAUGACGGCCCUACGGGUUGUAAACUUCUUUUAUAUGGGAAUAAAGUGAGGCACGUGUGCCUUUUUGUAUGUACUUUAUGAAUAAGCAUCGGCUAACUCCGUGCCAGCAGCCGCGGUAAUACGGAGGAUGCGAGCGUUAUCCGGAUUUAUUGGGUUUAAAGGGUGCGUAGGUGGUGGGUUAAGUCAGCUGUGAAAGUUUGCGGCUCAACCGUAGAAUUGCCGUUGAUCCUGGCAGUCUUGAGUACAGGUGAGGUAGGCGGAAUGCGUGGUGUAGCGGUGAAAUGCAUAGAUAUCACGCAGAACGCCGAUUGCGAAGGCAGCUUGCCGAGCCGCAACUGACGCUGAGGCACGAAAGCGUGGGGAUCGAACAGGAUUAGAUACCCGUGUAGUC